UACGUAGGGUGCGAGCGUUGUCCGGAAUUAUUGGGCGUAAAGAGCUCGUAGGCGGUUUGUCGCGUCGACUGUGAAAACCCGAGGCUUAACCUCGGGCCUGCAGUCGAUACGGGCAGACUAGAGUUCGGUAGGGGAGACUGGAAUUCCUGGUGUAGCGGUGAAAUGCGCAGAUAUCAGGAGGAACACCGGUGGCGAAGGCGGGUCUCUGGGCCGAUACUGACGCUGAGGAGCGAAAGCGUGGGGAGCGAAUAGG
rnacentral:rRNA from 1 species